ensembl:lncRNA
CAGUGUUUGUCAAGGGCUUGGGACGACAGGUGCACGCGAACAUGAGGACAAAGACCGAUUCUUUUCCGCAGGGCUGCAGCCACAGUUCACGUCCCUCCCACGCACGUCCGCGUUCCAGGCCCGGAUGCUCCGCGCCCCGGGCUCCGGCGAAGGGCACGAAGCCACUGAUUAGGAAGCGAAAAGGAAAAAAAAAGUCCCGGCUUCUAGAAAGACUUGAAUGUUCGACCCCUGCCUGAGUCUGACUUGGCCCUGCAACGCCACCAAGUACACGACUUGGAGUUUGUCGCCUACCUGCUCACAGGCCUCGGCGCGCGCGUUAAGGUGGUGGAGACGGCGGCCGCAGCCCUUCCCUCUCCAGUUUGCUUUCUAGAGGCAGGUUGAGAGAAGAAACGUGUGAGCGUGUAAUUACAGAAUGGGAUCAGGUGAGGAAGGAGACAGACCAGGUGCAGGAUGGAAAUGGGCAGGCGGUUCCUUUAAAAUGAAAUCUAACCCUUUGGGGCUGCGCCGGGCUGGCUAAAUUUGUCACGUGUCUGAGGCCUUAACUCCUGCCAGCCACCCAGAGCCCUUGUGGCCCGACUGUCACUUUGCCGGGUGGAUCCUGGGUCACCUUCUGAACUCUCUGCCUGCCUGGUGAGCCCCUCAGGGGCCAGGAAGCCUGGUCGUAUCUCACACUCUGGAGACUCAUGGGAAUUCCAUCUAACGCAUGUGGCCCAGAUCCCUUUGGUUUCGAAGCCAGGCACUGGUGAGACACAUAAAGAAUACUUCUUGAGGGGAUGGGCGUCCCCACACUCCAGCUGACUGUAGGAAGGACAGGAGGAAGAAGGGCUGUCAGCAAAGGAAUCAUGCUCAGGAAACCGUCCAUGCCGGAAGUCAGCCCGGGAGCCCUACUGGACCCAGAAUGUCCAUGUCACACACACAGGCUGGUUAGGAGAGACGAAGGGUUGAGGGCAAAAAACUGACUGAUCAGCCUCUCCUCCGGAAGUUUGGGCCCUCAGAUGUUGCCUCGAUUACCUAUCGCAAGGAAGAAAUGCCAGAAUUCACCCAGGCCCUUGCUGACGCAGGGCACUAGAGAGAGAGAAACCACUGGGCUGAUUAUCUUGGCUUUAUCCUCCACAUCUGUUUCAGCUCAGCAUCUCUGCUUCUCAUCUUUAAAGAGAUGGCUGCAAGGCUAGAGAAUCUCAGAGCUGGAAAGGGUCUGAGAGACCUCACAUCUCACCUCCUUCUUUCGGAGAUAAGAGCCGUGUCACUUGAGAGGCCGUGACUCACUCAAGGCCACACGGCGUGGGGGGUGGGGGGUGCGGGGUGGGGAGCUGGGAUUGCAGCUCUCCCUUCCCAGGCCAGAGCUUUUCCCAGUUCUCCAAGCUGCCUCUCGGAUCCCGCCAAGUUGUUCCCACGCUGGCCUGGUUUAGGCCUCAUUAGUAAGAAAAGCUGGCUGUGGUCCUUUCUCAUCCCCCCACCCCCACUGCCUCUCGAAAAAGAAAGGAGAUGCUCUUCCAGAACAGAGCCAGGAUGGUUUUGCUUGUCAUCUGAUGUCUGGGAGUGCCCAUGCCAGGCUCCACUCCAGGGGUACAGCUCCUUGCCCUCACAUGGUGUCAUAAAAGAAUUCACCCUCCUGCCAACCUUGAGCAUAGAAGGCCGUUUCUCAGCUGGGACUCAAGCCACCUUGGGGGCCAAGACAUCAGAGAGACUGUGCUCGGCUCUUACCAGCUGUGUGCUCCUUGGCCAAGGUCUGUCCUUGGAAGGCAGGUGCUCCCCAAGGAGUCCCAACCCCAUUUCCUGGCCAGUCACCUUCACCCAAGCCAAGUCGAGACUCUCUCUGGAAGGUGCUCCACAUCCAUUCUGGAAGGGAGGAAUAUUCCCACCUCCAGUCCUUUUUUUAUUUCCAGCCACACUUCCAGUAGUCAUGUACGGAUAUGAAAGUUGGACUAUAAAGAAAGCUGAGCGCCGAAGAAUUGAUGCUUUUGAACUGUGGUGUUAGAGAAGACUCUUGAGAGUCCCUUGGACUGCAAGGAGAUCCAACCAGUCCAUUCUGAAGGAGAUCAGCCCUGGGAUUUCUUUGGAGGAAAUGAUGCUGAAGCUGAAACUCCAGUACUUUGGCCGCUUGAUGCGAUGAACUGACUCCUUGGGAAAGACCCUGAUGCUGGGAAAAAUUGAAGGCGGGAGGAGAAGGGGACGACAGAGAAUGAGAUGGUUGGAUGGCAUCACCGACUCAAUGGACAUAAGUUUGAGUAAGCUCCUGGAGUUGGUGAUGGGCAGCGAGGUGUGCUGCAGUCCUUGGAGUCCCAAAGAGUCAGCCACGGAGGAGCGACUGGACUGACUGACACUGCGUGGCUUAUGGGAUCUUAGUUCCCCGGUGUACAUGCUAAGUCGCUUCAGUUGGUUGACUCUGCGACCCUAUGGAUCAUUGCCCGCCAGGCUCCUCCAUCCAUGGGAUUCUCCAGGCAAGAAUACUGGAGUGAGUUGCUAUGCCCUCCUCCAGGGACUCUUCCCACUCAGGGAUGGAACUCCCAUCUCUUGCGUCUGCUGCAUUGACAGGUGGAUUCUUUACCACUAGUGCCACCUGGGAAGCCCCUUAGUUCCCCUACCAGGGGUCAAACCCCGGGCCCUUGGCAGUGAAAGCACUAACCACUGACCACCAGGGAACUCCCCCUCCCUAUUUUUUUUUUUUAACAGAUGUGGAAAUCCAGGUUCAGAGCGGUUAAGUUACCUGCCCAUGGUCACCCAGCUAGUGAGGGGCAGAGUCAGAAUUUGAACUCUGGUUCAAACCCAUCUCUUUCUGUGGCACCCCUCCACGUGCCCCAAAGGAGCUCGAGGCAUCUCAAGACACCCUUCCCGUGCUCAGAAGUAGUCCCCCCUGGCUUGCCUGGGUGCCUGAAACCCCCCCACUGGAGUAUCUGCUGCUGACCCCAGCCUUUUAAGCAGGAAAGGCCAGGGAUGGACAGGGGGAGGGUAUACAAAGGUUUGAUCAGGGUGGGACCAACCUGGGCCCCAGGGGCGAGGGCUUGGGGGCAGGGGAAGUGGCCCAGGGGAGAAAAGGCUGACUGGGGGAG